CUGCAAGUCCGCUCUGUCGCUGCCCGCUUCGGCGGGGGGAGGAAAGUCCGAGCAACACAGAGCACCGUCCAAGUUAACGGCUUGACAUUCGAGAGGGUGUAGCAGCGUAACAGAGAACGACCGCCCGCAAGGGUAAGGGUGAAAAGGCGGGGUAAGAGCCCACCGCGAAGGUAGCGAUACGCUUCGGCAGUACGCCUGACGGGUUGCAAGGCCAUGUAUACCGACAGUCGAGGGUUGCUCGCCCGUUGUCGGGGGGUAGGCCGCUGGAGGCUGCGGGUGACCGCAGUCGUAGAUAAAUGACGGAGACUUCGCCUUAGGGCGGAGAACAGAACUCGGCUUACGGGACUUGCAGCAAA
rnacentral:RNase_P_RNA from 1 species